CAUUAUAGUUAUUUUGUAAUAAGUUAUAACCUAGACUAUAAAUAGAACAUAUUAGGUCUUUUGUUCAUAAAUUUGAUGAUAUUUUGAGAGCUCUAUAGAGAGAGUCUUGCAAGGUGGAUUCCUUGUAAACAAGUGUGGAUAUCGCUUGUGUUGGUGCUAGUUUUGAAACGUUGGUUGCUUGGGAAUCCCGUUCCCUUGAGGUCACCGUAGAGCUUGGUGUUACUUGUAUGAAUUCUUGGGUCUUUGUGUUUAAUAUACACUUAGUAUUCUUUGUGUUUGUACACUUGUAUGUCAAGUUACCUAUCUAUCUAUUUAUUUAAUUGUUUUUGUUCAUUCUCGGGUUCGGUGUCCCAAAACCGAGACUUUGUAUUCUUCUUGUUCUUGUGCUUGUGUUGUUAAUCUAGUUUGUUGGCUCGCUGAUUUUAGAGGUGUUGAACACCUUAAUAUCUUGUUGUUAUUGUGUUUUCAUUGUUGUUUUAGUGAAUCCAAGAGUAGUCAUCAAAGGGGUCCUCGAUUCUUCCAACUUGUGGACUGUUUUGGUGUUUGUUUUAUGUCUCCUUUGUCGAUUUUGUAUCAUUUGGUAUCAGAGUCAUCUUUGAUUUUAUUUUAACAAGAUCAAUCUUGGGCUUGAGAGUUGAAAAAUAAAAAAAAAGUAAAGUGUUCUUGAGAUUGUUCUUGGCCGAAAGUUGGGUCUUGUUGUUGUCUUGGCCGAGACAUUUUCUAUGUGACUAGAUCUUGUAGCCUUUUGUUUAUUUAGAUUGUUUCUAGUGUUGGUUUCUUUCUCACCAACACUAAAAGUAUCUAGAUUUAAAGGUUUGAGCUUAUGUUUUUGACCUUGUUGUUGUAAACUUGAAACUGGCUAUGUGGUACAAUUUUUGUGGACUUGAAGAUGAAUAUUGGUGGAGUUGCUAUUGUUCUUGAGAAAUUUUUGUGGUGAUCUUGUUGUUCUUGAAAUGUCUUGACCAAUAUAAAGUAUAGCCUAUAUCCAAAAAGGUGUAACAUAAAGUUAAAAAGUUGUUGGUGAAGAGACUUGAACGCAUCACUUCAUAGACUUGUCAACCACUUUUUCAUAUUUCAAGGACCUUGUUUUGUGAGAAUAGUACAAGUCAAGUCUCGCAUUUUUGAGUUUGAAUUUGAAAAAGAGUUUCUAAGACUUGAAUUUCUCACCAAAUGACAAACUCAUCCAUUCCAAAUUGUAUCAAGUUAAAAGCUUCAAGUUGGUGAUUAAAAAUUAUGUGGGACCGUGACCAAUUAUGUGGAUGCCAAGUCAUCACAUUUUACUAUUCAUGCAACAUAAUUAAGCUCAAAUUUUUUAUUUCUUAGUUUCUAAUUUUUGUAUCUUAGUUGCUUUUUAUUGAUUCUAUUACUAAUUAAUAAACUAUUAAUUUUCAACUAGGUUGUAAGUUACUUUUGGGUUUAUUUGUUUGUGUCUACAUUUCUUUGUGUGCUUUUAUCUUUUUGAAAUUCGUUGUAGUUUCUUGAUUCAAGUCCGUACAUAUUUUCUUUGAGCUAUUUCAAAAAAGAAUCUAUUCCGACAUCGAGCCCCAAUUGGUACCAAGCAAUCUCCUUGGAGUAUAAAUGAGUUACCAACACUUGUGAGUCUAAUUGAGAGACAUUUCAAAGUGUGAGAGCUUAUGAGGAUGUUUUCUUUUCUAACAUCAACUAGUUUGUUGUUUUUUGUAUUUCUGUUUUAGAAUUUCUCUUGUUAAGUACUAUGACAUUGGAAAUAGUGACCAUGAAUGAUUUGAUGGCUGCCAUAAUGGGUAUGAAACAUGACCUUAGUACUCGAAUGGAGAGAAUGGAAAGAAUAAUAGACCGAAUGGAAGGAAAAAUGGAAGGAACAAAAAGCUCUCUUUGCAAGGAGUUUGAUAACUUGAUAGAGCAUCCAAGCCUUCCUAAUCAAGUUUCCAUGAGUGGACAUGCUCCACAUGAGCUACAAGGUAAUCAAAAUAACUCUUGCACUAUAGUGAAUGAGGCUAGUAGCCAACUAAGUGUGAAUGAUAGUUUGUUUUUAGGUGAGCCGAAUGUACCUCCAUUUGUGAUGAUAAUGUACAACUUGAUAUUGUGGAAACACUAGUUGAUCCAUCUAGUGUUGAAGCCAUUGUGGCAAGUGAUAGUACAUUGUCUUAUGGAAGUCAUGAAGACCAACUUGUGUGUGAAAAUGGUGAUGUUGAACGUGUUGGUCGAUUGACUAAGGAUGACCCUCUAGUUGUUUUUGUUGUAUACCAUCCUAGUAUAGAGGGUAUAUAUGAUUGUACUAGUGGUAGUAUUGGGAAAAGGAAAUGCAUCCUAAACCCAAGUCCAUGGACACUCCACCCAUUUGAUCCCAGUGAUAAUUUGAAGCAUGGUGAUGAGGAUGUCUUUUGGAAUGGGUUGAAUUUACAUGGAAUGUAUGGCCUUCUUAUCUUGGCUUUCAGGCCUAUUUUUUGUUCCAUGAAGAGUUUAUGUUUCACACUUGAUGAGCAGUUCUUGAUACUUGUUUCUUGUUACACUUGUGUGGAUACACUAACUGACUCUUUCUUGGGAGGGUAUUCAGGUAAGAGGGAUGUUUGGGUGUAUAUGAAGUUUGAGCCACCUUUUCAAGAUGCUAUGUUUGAUUAAAAUUCUCUUCUUUUUUCUUCUUGUUUCUUGUCACACUUUAAUGGAUAGAGAAGUACUUCUUUUGGUGCUUAGAAAGGUAUCCUAUUCCCUAAGGUCCCACGGCAUGUGUAUAAUGUACACUCGUGGACCAAUAUGUAAAGGCUCGAGCUCGGGUGGCUGGCCAACCAAUGGAACAAGCUUUGAAGUGUAUAGAACAAGUCUCUAACACUCCAAAGCCUUCCAAUAUGCACACUCCAAGGCCGCCCCUUUGUAUUGGUUCAUUAAAGGCAUUAUAGUCAUUUUGUAAUAAGUUAUAACCUAGACUAUAAAUAGAACAUAUUAGGUCUUUUGUUUAUAACUUUGAUGGUAUUUUGAGAGCUCUAGAGAGAGAGUCUUGCAAGGUGGAUUCCUUGUAAACAAGUGUGGAUAUCGCUUGUGUUGGUGCUAGUUUUGAAAUGUUAGUUGCUUGGGAAUCCCAUUUCCUUGAGGUCACCGUAGAGCUUGGUGUUACUUGUAUAAAUUCUUGGGUCUUUGUGUUUAAUAUACACUUAGUAUUCUUUGUGUUUGUACACUUGUAUGUCAAGUUACCUAUCUAUCUAUUU
rnacentral:lncRNA from 1 species